rnacentral:lncRNA from 1 species
AGAGUCCUAAAAUCCCUCAAAAUGUAUCCAACCCACGUACUAUAUUUCUGACUGUCGGAUCAGCCUUCAAUGCAUGAGGUCACACCUCAUCAAGCCUUUAUCAAGUUUGAUUCAUUGUGGAUCAUUGGAUCUUGCAUCAGAUUUAUUUUGGACCAUCAGAUCAUGCCAAAAAUUUACUUCUAUUUAGUUCUCCCAUCGGCAACCAACCAUAGCCAUCCGAUCUUGCCUCAAAAUUACUUCUAACCAUUAGAUCGUGCAAAGGAUGUGGGCCACCACC